UCCCAACGGGAAAAGCUGCCAAAAAGGUUGUUUAAUUAUGCGCUGAUGUCUUCUGUAGAUACAGUCCAUAUGUUUGCUGGUUUGCAUAGGGAGACAUCAGCGUAGGGUGGCUGUAUGGUUUCGGACUUGACUUUGUAACCUGUUCUCUGUAGUUAAUAAACUAUGGAUGUGGGAGUUUCGUGAUGAUUACUAACAUCAUGACGUCGUCACAUACCGGAUUGACAGGCAUCGGUGGACGGGCCACCGUCACUUAACCCAGAACAGGAGUGACACUCCGUGUGUCCACUCGAAAACUAGCCAAAUGCCUCGUCAUCUAAUUAGUGACGCGCAUGAAUGGAUGAACGAGAUUCCCACUGUCCCUACCUACUAUCCAGAGAAACCACAGCCAAGGGAACGGGCUUGGCGGAAUCAGCGGGGAAAGAAGACCCUGUUGAGCUUGACUCUAGUCUGGCGCUGUGAAGAGACAUGAGAGGUGUAGAAUAAGUGGGAGGCCGGGCGCGCGCUCGGCGCGGCGGGGCGACCCGCCCGCCGGCGGCCCGGCCGGCGGGGGAAUAACACCAAUCUGGUCAAAAAAAAUCUCGCUGCUGGCGCCAAGCGCCCGGCGCGUGCCGGGCACGACCCGCUCCGGGGACAGCGGCAGGUGGAGGGUUUGACUGGGGCGGUACACCUGUCAAAGCG
rnacentral:ncRNA from 1 species